rfam:Sarcophilus harrisii ctg7180002209152, whole genome shotgun sequence.
UAAAUUGAAGCCAAAUGUUGAGGCGCUUAGCUGUUAACUAAGAAGUAGGGGGGGAUAGAUACCCUCCAGGUUAG